rnacentral:rRNA from 1 species
UACGAAGGGGGCUAGCGUUGUUCGGAAUCACUGGGCGUAAAGGGCGCGUAGGCGGCUUGAUAAGUCGGGGGUGAAAGCCUGUGGCUCAACCACAGAAUUGCCUUCGAUACUGUCGAGCUUGAGACCGGAAGAGGUUAGUGGAACUGCGAGUGUAGAGGUGAAAUUCGUAGAUAUUCGCAAGAACACCAGUGGCGAAGGCGGCUGACUGGUCCGGUUCUGACGCUGAGACGCGAAAGCGUGGGGAGCGAACAGG